rnacentral:misc_RNA from 1 species
CCGAUACCAAACGUACAGGACACCGUCCUCGUACACAGAGAGUACACACUGUGCGCUACCCAGCGAUCGGCGACACACGUCGUCGGUCGGCGUUCGCCUGUUACCGUCAGAGAACGAAUAUUGAAUACCCGUUGACGCUUCGGGGUACCUGUCGCACGUCGGCCGUCUUUGCGUGCGGUGAGCAGGCCGCGGGCUUCGGUCCGCGGUCGGCGAAGGUCCAACGAACCGUCCGCGCGCGUUCACGCGCGCGCGUUCGGUCGCCCCGUCGCAUUCUCAGUCAGUCAGUCAGUCAGUUAACACGUACGGUUGCAUCUGUUACCAUGUCAGGACAACGAGAGUUACACAGAC